rnacentral:rRNA from 1 species
UACAGAGGGUGCAAACGUUGCUCGGAAUUAUUGGGCGUAAAGCGCACGUAGGCGGUUCGUUAAGUCAGAUGUGAAAGCCCCGGGCUCAACUCGGGAAGUGCAUUUGAAACUGGCGGGCUUGAAUAUGGAAGAGGGUCGCGGAAUUCCCGGUGUAGAGGUGAAAUUCGUCAGAUAUCGGGAGGAACACCAGUGGCGAAGGCGGCGACCUGGGCCAAUAUUGACGCUGAGGUGCGAAAGCGUGGGGAGCAAACAGG